GUAGCGUGAAGGACGACUGCCCUAUGGGUUGUAAACUUCUUUUAUACGGGAAUAAAGUGAGGCACGUGUGCCUUUUUGUAUGUACCGUAUGAAUAAGGAUCGGCUAACUCCGUGCCAGCAGCCGCGGUAAUACGGAGGAUCCGAGCGUUAUCCGGAUUUAUUGGGUUUAAAGGGAGCGUAGGCGGACGCUUAAGUCAGUUGUGAAAGUUUGCGGCUCAACCGUAAAAUUGCAGUUGAUACUGGGUGUCUUGAGUACAGUAGAGGCAGGCGGAAUUCGUGGUGUAGCGGUGAAAUGCUUAGAUAUCACGAAGAACUCCGAUUGCGAAGGCAGCCUGCUGGACUGUAACUGACGCUGAUGCUCGAAAGUGUGGGUAUCAAACAGGAUUAGAUACCCUGGUAGUCCACACAGUAAACGAUGAAUACUCGCUGUUUGCGAUAUACAGUAAGCGGCCAAGCGAAAGCGUUAAGUAUUCCACCUGGGGAGUACG
rnacentral:rRNA from 1 species